AUCGAGCUAGAGCUGUCAAAUGUCAAAUGUGUAUGCGUGCAUGGGUCACUGUGACCACUGUCACUGUGACCAAGUUUCAAUGAUACAGAACGUGAUCCGCUAUUCGAUACAUAAUGCAAAUGGAGCUCUGAAGUUUACGACUGCGUACGGUGACACAGAGUUGAAAACGAAAGAGCCUUUGGGUGGCUGAUAAUAAUCAGCUUGCGAAAUUGUUCAUACAUUAUUAAUGCUAGGGAUCACAAAUUAGGCUCAAAGAGAUCUUGGCAUGGUUGCGUAAAGGGGCUGCUAGGCCAGCAUGCCGAAGGUUAUCUUGUACAAAUAACGAAGGAGAAAGGACCAUUAAUCAAUUGACAGAUCGAAUGAAUAAUCUUCACUUUGCAGCAUCAAUAUUUGUUUCACUGAAUUGAGUUUCAAAUCAAUGUUCAACUAUUAUACUCAUCUUUGUUGUGUCCACCAUAGUAAUGACCUACAUUAAUUGCAUACAAAUUGCUUUGCCAUUUUCGAAUGAAGUUAUACUGCUUUAGCUAUUAACAACAAUGAUACCAGUUUUUAAAUUUAUACUUCCUCCAAUGCAUCUGUAAUGUGGAUGUCAAAAUGCCGAACUGUUAUUGAAUUAAAAUAAGUAGUAAGGCAGAAUUACAGAAUUUAACAUAUACACCUGGUGAAGCUAUGAACGCGAGCAGUAGCAUAGAAGACCAAUUUUUAGUUCGCAAUAGACUUUGACCCCCGUUUCGAGUAUUACUUGGGUUUGGCAAAAAUAAAAUAAAUAUUGUCAAGACUAUUUCUCAUAGCUUAGUUUUGGCCAAGUACUGUGAUAUGUAAUAGUUGUAAUAAAAUAAAUCUUAAUCUUCAAGAAA